rnacentral:rRNA from 1 species
UACGGGGGGGGCAAGCGUUGUUCGGAAUUACUGGGCGUAAAGGGCUCGUAGGCGGCCAACUAAGUCAGCCGUGAAAUCCCCAGGCUCAACCUGGGAACUGCGUCUGAUACUGGAUGGCUUGAAUCCGGGAGAGGGAUGCAGAAUUCCAGGUGUAGCGGUGAAAUGCGUAGAUAUCUGGAGGAACACCGGUGGCGAAGGCGGCAUCCUGGACCAAUACUGACACUGAGGAGCGAAAGCCAGGGGAGCAAACGGG